GCCUGCUUCGGCAGCCCGUGUACUAGAACUGGAACAAUAUAGAGAAGGUUAGCAUGGCCCUGGGCAAGGAUGGCAUGCAGAUUCGUGAAGCGUUCCUUAUGUGU